AAGAAGUUAGUUUAAAAAACAUAAAUUUGUCAAAUUUAAAUUGCUUUGUUUAAAAGCACUUCUUU
rnacentral:tRNA from 1 species